AUACGGAGGGUGCAAGCGUUAAUCGGAAUUACUGGGCGUAAAGCGCGCGUAGGCGGUUUAGUCAGUCAGAUGUGAAAGCCCCGGGCUCAACCUGGGAACUGCAUUUGAUACUGCUGAACUAGAGUAUGGUAGAGGGAAGUGGAAUUCCGGGUGUAGCGGUGAAAUGCGUAGAUAUCCGGAGGAACACCAGUGGCGAAGGCGACUUCCUGGACCAAUACUGACGCUGAGGUGCGAAAGCGUGGGUAGCAAACUGGAUUAGAAACCCCGGUAGUCC
rnacentral:rRNA from 1 species